rnacentral:lncRNA from 1 species
GGGAGGCGCGCGAGUUCUGUGCGGUGGACUUGUGCUCCCGCGAGGGGGCGUGUCCUUUCUCGCGCCCGCAGUGUCCCUGAGGGUCCGCGUCUACACGCGGCUGUGAGGAAGGAAGGCGCGUGCCGCGUGGGACGGGCUCCACCUGCCUGCGGACAGAUGGAGGGUCACUUUGUUCCGAGAAGACGCAGGCACCCGAGGGAGGAUGUGAAACGGAACGACCCGUUUCGAAUAAUAACAGGAUGGAGAUGGAGUUUCAUGACAAAAAUGAAGGUGAAUAUGAUGUGGAAAAUACAAAGAUGGAAGCAACAAGCUAAGGAUGCUGGGGCAGAAAGAUGGGAACCUGGGUUACUCAUGACAUCUUGAAACUGCUGCAGCCAUCCUAGACUGGCUGCCUCUAGACUUAAUAUGU